GCGCCCAACAAUUUAUGGCGCUGUAUAUCUCUGGAAAUCUGGUCCAGAAGUCUCUACCACAAGACCGAAUCUUGUGACUACAGUCCAACCCCCAUCCGGC
rnacentral:ncRNA from 2 species